GACGAACGCUGGCGGCGUGCUUAACACAUGCAAGUCGAACGAAGUGGCGAAUGGGUGAGUACCGCGUAAUCAACCUGCCCUUCAGAGGAGGACAACAGUAGGAAACGACUGCUAAUACCGAAUACUGAGGGAGGGGAUUGCGUCUGAUUGGCUAGUUGGAGGGGUAACGGCCCACAAAGGCGAUGAUCAGUAGCCGGGCUGAGAGGAUGAACGGGCACAUUGGGACUGAGACACGGCCCAGACUCCUACGGGAGGCAGCAGUGGGGAAUCUUCCGCAAUGGACGAAAGUCUGACGGAGCAACGCCGCGUGAGUGAGGACGGCCUUCGGGUUGUAAAGCUCUGUUAAUCGGGACGCGGUACCGGAAUAGAAAGCCACGGCUAACUACGUGCCAGCAGCCGCGGUAAUUC
rnacentral:rRNA from 1 species